AUGUUUUUUUCUCUCUCUUCUGUCCCUCUCUCUCGUACGCUCUCUCUUUUCUCACCAUCACUUUCAUCUCUCCUCCCUGCCUCAUCUCCUCCUCCACCACCGCAUCCACCACAACCUCCACCACCACCUACAAAUCGAUCUCCGAAUCAGAACGUCCUCUCCGCUUCCGGUGAUGCCGCCGUCAUCAGAAUCACGUUAUUCUUCCUCUCAGGUUCCUCGUGUCAAUUUGCUCAUAAACUUUGUAGAAAUCAUAACUCUUAUUGCUGCAGCUGCAACAGAAAUUGGGAAUUGGAGGAAGUAUGUGAAACCCGUAUUCUGGACAGGGGCUCACUAAAACGACGCGUUUGAAGUUCAGGGUCAGGUGCAGAAUUUUGGGUUUGAGGUUAGCAUCAUGAUCAUCAUCUUGAGCUACUGGGAAUUUUAUGGAGUAGCUCAUUUCUUAAAGUUUCUGAGUUAAUCUCAUUCAGAUGCCUCGGAACCUCCAUUGAGUUUGCAUUAGUUAUUGUGCAGAAGCUGUUUGGACGCAAUUUUAGCUCUAGAACUUGCAAAGACAACAGUGUUCACAAGCCCAUAAUUCAGAAUUUCGUCGCAGUCAGUCUAUCUAAGCUAUUGAUAGAUAUCAAGUGGUUCGUGGCAUGACUUUGACCGAUCAGAAACUAAAGAUGGAUGUCAAAAUAUACGAUGCUGCAAGAUCCAAAACCAAAACCAGAUUCAAGUAUCUGUUGAAAAGAAAAAUAGGAAAGAUAUAUUUCAAAGAUGGAUGGUAUGAUGGGGGCUUGAAGAAGGUUUUUUUAGUUGGCUGUGAGUUCUCUAUUUUUUGCUUCUUUGUAUAUGUAUGAUAUGUUAUAUGUUAUACUUAUAUUGGACUUAAGAUUACCCUUUUUAAUUUUUGUAGAUCUGGUGUGUAUCCUUAUAUGCAGGGAACAAUUUUAGUACUUAACGAUAUACUGGGUUGGGUUUUAAAAAAUAUAUAUAGCUCCAAUCUAAAUUGAAUAUAACAUUAUUUUUGUUAUGUUUUAUUACUGUCUCAGUUGCGGCCUGAUUUAGAUUUGUACGACAUUGUUUGUUUGUGAAGUAAGAGGAGAGUUCCCUACUAAAAGAAAGAAUAGUUUUAGGGAAGAUAAUUUUCUAAUCUAUUUUUCUUACUCAAUAAUUUUUUGAUCUUGGUGUAUAUAUUUUAGGCAUAUGUUUGAGAUGGCAUGCUUGGCUAUUAACAUGUUGAUAUUGUUUUGCAGGAGAUAGCAACCAAAAGUGCAAAUUUUGAGGUAACGAUAAAUACAAAUGAGAGUUUGAAGAGGAUAAAGGCAAGGGGCAGGCUGAGGAAGGAGUGAAGGCAGUGAGAAAAAUAGGAAGAUAAGUAAGGUUAUGGAUGCAACCCUUGAAGAUUUAGAUGUAGAGGUAAUAGGGUGCAUUGCACUUUGUGGGAUGAUUUUGCUCUAAAUAUGCAGAAAUUCUUGGAUAUACUCAUGAUUCAUCCCUACCUAUGGUAAUCAUAAUACAACUAUGCAAGCUUAAGAAGUACCUUGGUAGGAAAAUACUUCCUUUUCACCUAUUGUUUGAAAUAUAGCUCUGGUGGUUUAUUUUUUUGUUUCCAUUUGAGUAUGUGCUAUGUAAAUUUCAAAUUCUUUUUAUGGAUCAGAAUUGUUGUUGAAUGCUCAGAUUCCUGAAGUAUCUAAUUAUAUAGAAACUUAGAAAGUUGAGUCAAGUGGUUAAUCAAAUGAUCGGACCAGUGAUGCAUAGUGUCGUCGAUGAUUUGCUGUAGACCCCAAAGAUGAAUAUUGAGGAUCUCAUUGAAUCUACCGAGAUAAAUUUGGAACCCAUGUUGGUGAAUCAUAAUUGCUACUUUGUAGGGGAGGGGGAUAGGUAUUUAUGGUUAUUACUAUUUUAUAGGGAUGACUACAUCAUCAUUGCUACUUUUUAGGAAGUCUUGAGUAUCCAACCCUGUAUUUUUGCAUAACUCCUUCACUAAUCCACGCAUAUUUUCUCAUUGAUCAAAUACACCACUCUUCUAAUUUUCUUUUCUAUUCAUCUCCUCUGUGUUUUGUCUAUCCUAUCUCAAUACCAUCUUCGUCUAACCCUUCAUUUCCCAUAUGGCAUCCUAUCUCACAUAAUUAAAUGACUGUUAUAAAACCUAAUCCAGGAAAGAAAGAAAAAAAGUCGGACUCUUAUCUUUCUUGCUUUAGAUGGCUGGCUUUGGAAACAGAGAUAUGACAUGCUUUGUUGUAAUUUUGAAUGCUUUAAUAUACAUUACUUAAUUGCUUCAAUCUUUGCUUAUGAUACUAAGUAAAAAAAAAAGUUCUCAACAACUUAAAUUAGGGAUAAGUAUGAAGUUUUGAACUUGGAGAGAUUGAUAUGUUUCAACCAAUGUGCAGUCCAAGAUCUCAUAUCUCACAAUGCGUUCGAUCUUUAUUAGAUUGCAAACUUUGUGAAUGUUGGUGGCUCAAAUUAUGUUGAAAGAUUCCUACUUUAAUAGGUUGGCUCAAAUUUUUAGUGGAUGGAGAUAUUAUGAAGAUGAAAUUAGUUGUCAUCCAAGCAUAGACUUUGCAGCAAAGAAAGUAACUGUUGUUGGAGAUGUGACUCAAUUAAGUGUAAUGGCAAGCAUAACAAAGGUGAAGUCUGCAUAAAUUUGGCCAGAAUUUGCUUCACCAAUUGGAGCUACAAGUGGUGCUGCUGAAUAAAGGAAAUAAACUAUAGGUGCUUUCGUAUGCUUUGAGUCUGUAUUAGGUGGUAGUUUAAUUAGUGUAAAUGAGAAUGUUAGCAAGUGAAGUUGUGGCUUUGAAGAGAUAUUGGUAGUUUAUUUAGAAGGAGUUUUAUCUUUGCAUAAGGAUUGACUAUUGAAACCGAUUUUCAUAAUGAGUCUGAUGUGUGGAUAUAAAUAGUGGAUCAUAUAAGUAAAGAUUCAUUUUUUAAAUUCA